GCAGUGGUAGCUCAGUGGUUAAGACAUUGGUCUACUGAUUGGACAGUCAUGAGUUCAAACCCCAGCAUUGCA